rnacentral:rRNA from 1 species
GUUUUUUCUGAUCCUAGUCAAGGUUUUUUAAUUCCGUGCGGCAUUGUCGAUCAAUGAACUUCAUUAGCAAAGCAGGCGGUGUUGCACUUCGAUCAACAUUGAAAGGUGAUCGAAAUAUUUCAAAGUCUUUAUCGUAUGAUGCGAUUUCAUUGAAUCUCGAAUAAAAAUCUUUUACUAAUGUUUAUAAACAAUCAGCAUAUUUGGUGAGUUAAAAUUAUUUAGCUCACCAAAAUAUCACGGGUCUUUAUUCCUGAACUGAUUUUCCCAAAGAUAUUAUUUGAGGAAUUUUAGCAAUUAGCUUAUUUUCCCCUUCAGCUCUUUUAAUUGAAAUUCAUACCAAUUCAUAGACUUUCNGAUUGGCCGUUUAUAUUAUUUACUGUCGUGUAUAUUAGUGAUGGACUUAAUUGUUUUUUUCUAAUAACCGAAAUGUUUACUUUGAAAAAAUUAGAGUGCUUAAAGCAGGCUUACUCUUGUAUAUUGUUGUAUGAAAUAAUAAAAUAGGACUUUGGUUUUAUUUUGUUGGUUUUCUUAACUAAAAUAAUGAUUAAUAGAGACUGCCGGGAGCAUAUGUAUGCUGGUGCUAAAGGUGAAAUUCUUAGACCAUCAGCAGACAAACUACUGCGAAAGCAUUUGCCAAGAAUGUUUUCAUUAUAUAAGAACGAAAGUCAGAGGAUCGAAGACGAUCAGAUACCCUCCUAGUUCUGACCAUAAACUAUGUUAACUGACAGUUAGUAAAGAUUAAUUAUUUCUUCUUACUAGAAGUCACCGGGAAACCAAAGUCUUUGGGUUCCGGGGGAAGUAUGGUUGCAAAGCUGAAACUUAAAGGAAUUGACGGAAGGACACAAUAAGGAGUGGAGCUGCUUAAUUUGACUCAACAUAAGAAAUCUCACCUGGUUCGGAAACUGUGAGGACUGACAGAUUGAUAGCUCUUUCUUGAUUCGGUUGGUGGUGGUGCAUGGCCGUUCUUAGUUGGUGAAGCGAUUUGUCAGGUUAAUUCCGAUAACGAACGAGACUCUGAUUUACUAAAUAGUGAAUUUUUAUUCAAUUGUAAAUUCUAACUUUUUAGAAGAAUUAAUAGUGCUUAGCUAUAUGAAAUAGAGCAAUAACAGGCCUGUGAUGCUCUUUGAUGUCCGGGGCCGCACGUGCGCUACAAUGGCAGUAUUAACAAGUUUUCCUAACUAGAAAUAGUCGGGUAAUCUCUUGAAACACUGUAGUAUCAGGGAUUGUGAAAUUUCACAUGAACGAGGAAUUGCGCUGAUUACGUCCCUGCCCUUUGUACAAACCACCUACCGCUACUACCGAUUGAAUGGUUUAGUGAGAUUGUUGAAUUCUGAUCUAAGAAAUCGCAACAUUUCUAUGAAUGGGAAAAGACAC